rnacentral:rRNA from 1 species
GCACAAGCGGUGGAGCAUGUGGCUUAAUUCGAUGCAACGCGAAGAACCUUACCUGGGUUUGACAUGCAGGGAAAUCUCGUAGAGAUACGGGGUCCGCAAGGGCCUUGCACAGGUGGUGCAUGGCUGUCGUCAGCUCGUGUCGUGAGAUGUUGGGUUAAGUCCCGCAACGAGCGCAACCCUCGUCCUAUGUUGCCAGCGAGUAAUGUCGGGGACUCAUAGGAGACUGCCGGGGUCAACUCGGAGGAAGGUGGGGAUGACGUCAAGUCGUCAUGCCCCUUAUAUCCAGGGCUGCACACAUGCUACAAUGGCCGGUACAAAGAGCUGCGAUACCGCAAGGUGGAGCGAAUCUCAUAAAGCCGGUCUCAGUUCGGAUUGGGGUCUGCAACUCGACCCCAUGAAGUCGGAGUCGCUAGUAAUCGCAGAUCAGCAACGCUGCGGUGAAUACGUUCCCGGGC